CUUUCUUUGUGGCACAUGUAAUUCAGAACAUAAUAGAAACUUCAAAUUAUACAGCUUUAGCAAGAAAAUAUCAGGAAAUCUGUCCUCAAGAUCCCAGUGCUUGGCUCCAUCUCUGAUAAUAUUUAUUUAAAAAUAAGCCCAAUAGAGAAGAAAUUCUGACAACAGAAUAUUCUACUAGUAUUGAAGUUAUGGAUCUGAAGUGAAAGAAUCAGCAAAAGCAUCGCCCAAUGAUCACACUACAUUUAUAAACAUUGUUCUUCUCAUCAUUUCAGGCUCUUUCUAAGAUUUGCCUAAACAUUAUCUUUCUCAUCAUUCUUGAGGAUCCUAUAACUGAAUCCAGGAAUCCCAUUAAGUGGAUCGGUUUCUGCAACUUUCACAGAAGAGAAAAUGCUUGGGAAGAAUCCGGAGUUGUUGCCUCUUCGCUUCUUUCUUUUCCAGUUCAGUGUCAAGGAC
rnacentral:misc_RNA from 1 species